UUUUCACUCUACAAUACAAGACACAUUUUCAGUAGAGGGACUAGUCUUAACAAACAAUACACAAAACUAUAAAAAAAACAGGAAAAUAGUAUCCGAAUGGCUAAAGUAUACAAAUUUAAAAUCAUUAACACCCGUUUUCUACGAGGAAUCCAAACUUCUAGAUCGCAUACUUGCUAAAAGACGCGAAAGUAAAUCAUUCGAAUGUGAUAUAAGCCGAGCUUUCGAACUAGCGUCGAUGGACACAAUUGGAAGAACUGCUAUGGGAGAAAAAUUUAAUUCACAACAAACAGAAAAUCAUGUAUUUCUAAACAACUAUGAGCAUCUAUUAGAAAUGUUUGCAUACAAAUUUGAGCGUCCGUGGUUUUUCAUUUCGAGAUUAUUUUCACUAUCAUCGAAAAAAGAGCAACAACGAAACAGUCAACAUUCAAU